rnacentral:rRNA from 1 species
CCUACGGGUGGCAGCAGUGAGGAAUAUUGGUCAAUGGCCGGAAGGCUGAACCAGCCAUGCCGCGUGAAGGUCAGUGCCCUAUGGGCGUUAAACUUCUUUUCUCAGGGACGAAGCAAGUGACGGUACCUGAGGAAUAAGCCACGGCUAACUACGUGCCAGCAGCCGCGGUAAUACGUAGGUGGCAAGCGUUAUCCGGAUUUACUGGGUGUAAAGGGCGUGUAGGCGGGAAAGCAAGUCAGAUGUGAAAACCAUGGGCUCAACCUGUGGCCUGCAUUUGAAACUGUUUUUCUUGAGUACUGGAGAGGCAGACGGAAUUCCUAGUGUAGCGGUGAAAUGCGUAGAUAUUAGGAGGAACACCAGUGGCGAAGGCGGUCUGCUGGACAGCAACUGACGCUGAGGCGCGAAAGCGUGGGGAGCAAACAGGAUUAGAUACCCCUGUAGUC